rnacentral:miRNA from 1 species
AGUGUGGAGGAUCUUGCUGUUU